rnacentral:tRNA from 1 species
CGGCCGCGUCGGUGUCGGCGCUGACCUGCCGGCUUCCGGCCGCCGCGCCGGCGCCCAGGCUCAGUUUCGGCGGUUCGGCGCCGCAGCGGCCCU